rnacentral:rRNA from 1 species
UACAGAGGUCUCGAGCGUUAGGCGGAAUCACUGGGCUUAAAGCGUGUGUAGGCGGAUCGUUAAGUACCUUGUGAAAUCCCACGGCUUAACCGUGGAACUGCUUGGUAUACCGGCGGUCUUGAGCCAGCUAGGGGCUACCGGAACAAAUGGUGGAGCGGUGAAAUGCGUAGAUAUCAUUUGGAACGCCAAUGGUGAAAACAGGUAGCUGGGGCUGUGCUGACGCUGAGACACGAAAGCCAGGGGAGCAAACGGG